rnacentral:rRNA from 1 species
AGGGUGUAAACGCUGCCGACUUGGUGUUGGAGGCCCUUCGGGGGCAUUCAGUGCCGGAGAGAAGUUGUUAAGUCGGCCACUUGGGGAGUACGUCCGCAAGGAUGAAACUUAAAGGAAUUGGCGGGGGAGCACCGCAACGGGAGGAGCGUGCGGUUUAAUUGGAUUCAACACCGGAAACUCACCAAGGGCGACUGUCACAUGAAAGCCAGGCUAAUGACCUUGCUUGAUUUUCAGAGAGGUGGUGCAUGGCGUCAGUGACU